GGGGAUUUGGCUCAGUGGUGGGGCACUUGCCUAGGAAGCGCAAGGUCCUGGGUUCAAUCCCCAGCCCCG
rfam:Rattus norvegicus chromosome 5, whole genome shotgun sequence.